AAAAUAUGCUCAUCUUCUUCAUGGUGAACGAAAUCAGCAAGGAGGAAGCCAUAUUUAGGGUUUUUAAGCUUUCAAGCUCCAUAAUCAAGAAAGACGUGAAGAGUAUAUCAAACGGGGAAAAGAAAAGAUAGUGGAGUAAAGUGCAAAAUUACGAUAUUUUGCACCGAGUGACUUCCAACAACUCGGAAAUUGGAACGAAGUCAGACAAUCAUCUACACUAUCCUUCACAUUUGGGGUAUUUUACUACUAGUGUUCCGAAAUUUUAUGGCAUGUAUAGACAAUUUAUGUAAUGUGGGAUCAUCAUGUAAAUAUAUGUUAUGGUUCCCUUUUAAAUGUAGUGUUUAUUAAUAGUUAAUCUGUAUGUGUGUUUAUACAAAUGAAAUUGGUUGGUAUAUUGGAAUGUGUUCUAAAUUUGC